rnacentral:rRNA from 1 species
UACGUAGGGUGCGAGCGUGUCCGGAAUUACUGGGCGUAAAGAGCUCGUAGGUGGUUUGUCGCGUUGUCCGUGAAAACUCACAACUCAAUUGUGGGCGUGCGGGCGAUACGGGCAGGACUGGAGUACUGCAGGGGGAGACUGGAAUUCCUGGUGUAGCGGUGGAAUGCGCAGAUAUCAGGAGGAACACCGUGUGCGAAGGCGGCU